rnacentral:rRNA from 1 species
UACGUAGGGGGGCGAGCGUUAUCCGGAUUUACUGGGCGUAAAGCGCGUUAAGGCGGUUGGCAAAGUUGGUGGUGAAAUCCCAGGGCUCAACCCUGGAACUGCCUCCAAUACUGGUCGACUAGAGUGUGAGAGAGGAAGGUGGAAUUCCCGGUGUAGUAGUGAAAUGCGUAGAUAUCAGGAGGAACACCAGUGGCGAAGGCGGCCUUCUGGCUCACAACUGACGCUGUAGCGCGAAAGCGUGGGGAGCGAACGGG